CUUGCAGAAGCAGAGGAGAAACGCGUGGGGGCCGGAAGGAAAGGCACUGAGAAAAGCAAUUGCAGGGCCCACAGCUGCCAGCAGAGCAGGAAGCUCUUAGGAUUCCUGCUGUGUGGAUUCAGAGGGAGAUCAGCUGGGAAGCAGGGAGAGGUGACAUCGUGGCUCUGAAUCCUUUCCAGCAAUCUGCUCUGAUGUUCUGACAAGGACCUGCCAGAAGAGGGCUGGAAACUCCGGGCAGAUCCCUUAGACGAAUGAUAACCAUCAGACAAACAGUGCACGGAUCUGAUGCCAGCGCAGCCUGAUGCAACACCUCUGUGCCUCCGCUCCGGGCUGUGCUCUGCUCUGCAGCCCGCACCUCUCCUUGCAGCUUCUUAAAGAGACCGCUGUCCCUCUGAAAGCGCCCUGCAGAGCGAGUUCAGCCUAAAAAAAUCCCAAGGAAAGAAAAACAUCACACUCUGCAAGGUGGCAAGAGACAUGGGAAAGUUCACACCCACUGGCACACGCUGCCUGUGCCCGGCCCUGUGAAGUGUCAGCUCCAGCACGGCCCUAACGAGCUGCUGAGGCAUUGGGUCCCACCCUGUGUCUGUUUAUCCAUGCCUUGGUGCAGUGGCAGUGUUGUCCCGUGGUCCUCUUGUCUAGGGAAGGGGAAGUGGUGCUCCUCCAGUGUGGCUGCAACUCUUGGUUAUGAGCUCCUGUUUGCAGGCAUGUGAAUGAUGGCACAAAUCUCUUCCUCUCUGUGCAUGGCAGUGCCACUCCUUGCUGGGCCAUGCAUUGCAGGAGUGCAGCUGAGGCCAAGGCCUGCUGCUUCCUGCUCCCUCAUUGGGACUUUCCUCUGGGGCAGCUUUGAGGAGUGGGGAUGAAAGGCGGCACAGUGGAAGCACGAAGCUCGCCUGGUUUAUUUUAUUUAUAACUGGCGUCUGCUUGAAAGGAAGCCGCCACUAUCAGCUCCAGCACCGCUGGGUUAAAUGAGUAAAUGAAAGAGGAGUUUUGCGUAUAUUCUGGAGCUCAAGUUUGCUCUUAUAUGGGCAUCCCACCAGGCGCUGCUUGCUGGUACCUUGCUGCUUGUGGUGUGGGACAUUCAGGCUCCAGCAGUGAGCCAGGGAGCUCUCUGUGUGACAAGCAGGAGGCAACAGAGGGUGGAUGAGCUCAGGCUGCAGCCACCUCCAUUCCCCUGGCCCAGGUUGGCUGCAUGCUCUGGCCCUGCUGCAGUCAGGGCAUGGAUGUUCUGUCAGAAAGCCAGGCUUGGUGCAGGGUGUGUUUACCACCCAGGGUUCCUUGAGCCAAUAUUUGAUCAGCCAUAAGUAUUUGCCCUGCUGUGUUUGCUGGUUUAUCCCUUCCAAACUCCCCAGGAAGACACCUGCCUCCUUCUCCCCAGGAUGGAUGGGGAGGAGCAGUGCUGGUGCAGGGUCCCUGUGGUCCCCAGUGUCAGAGUGUGGGUGCUGUGUGUGGCCCCCGUGGGAUCUCUGAGUCAUGGCUAAAGCAAUGACAGAGCCCUGGGAUGGAGAGGGGAGAAAUGCGAGCCCUCCCUUCUCCACUGCAGUCUGGAUGCGGGGAAUUUCUGCUUCCUGGGGAUGGAGUCAGGUUUGGCAAAGCCCAUUCCAUCCCCUGCAGCCUCAUCAAAAAGUACUGUCAAUCCAGAAGCACUUCCCAGGUGAGGUGAGGCUUUGAGGGCCAGGUUUCCUUGGUCUAAGUGGCUCUGAUUUGGUGCUGAGUGAUUUACUACCCUAAAAAGCCAGGAGAGGAGGCACAACUGUGGAGGGGUUGCAGCUUGGCCGCAGGCUUUCACUCCCACAAGUAACAGCACGACGGCCUCUUGCUAAUGCUUCCCCUGCAAGCCCCAUGCCAGCUCCUUGGACAGGGACCCACGUGGCAACAGGCCUGAGCACGGCACAGGCAGCCACGUUCCACAUAUCAUCAAAGGCUGCAUUCCUCCCCGGGAGCUGUGCGUGGGAUGGAGCCGCAGUCGUGCGCCUGCAGCUGCUGUUGGGGAGGAGGCAGAGGAGGGGGAAGCCCGGAGCUGGGUAAAAGGAGGGAGCUGAUCUCCUUUCCUGAGGUUUGAGUAUACAUCAGACACAGGUGCAUCCAUUGAGCUGGAGCUCUGGAAGCUCUUGGCAGGUUCCAUGUGGAUGGUUUGUGUGUGGGGACAUCGGGAUGCGUGGAUCCCACCAGCUCUUUGCAAGGCUUGUUGGCAUAAGGAAUCACAGUGGCAUGCAGGGAUCACACAGACCUUCCAAUGUUCAAGAUUGAAACCCUGACAACAACUAUCCUAGAGGCUGUGUCCAUCCCAGCCCCUGCAGCGAUGGGGGUAUGAUACACAGGAGAUGAGUGUACAGAAGGGCUUUUUUGGCUUGGCAGGCCCUUCUGAAGGGGAUCAAUACCAGCAAGACUCCAGACAAUGAUCUGCCUGACUACCAAGUCAGCAAACCCUGAGCUUGGAGUCUUGGUCCUCACCACGUGAGAUGUGACCUCUGCUGCUUGGGGCUGGCAUCGGGGUGUUGCAGCGAGCUGCGAGGCAGUGGGGGGGAGGAUGCAGCUUUCUGCUAUUUUGGAGAGCAGGGAGGAAGAGGAAGGGCUGCUGACAAAGAUUGAAACUCGAAAAAUGACGAUGGUGUCAAAAAAAACGUCCUCCCAUUUGGGGAACCAAGUGUAUUUGUUUCCUGAUGUGAUCAGGAUAGCUCAGACUGAGAGAAGCACGUUCAUGUCACUGACUUGUAACAUCCCAAGUUGGGUGGGUUUUGGGGAUGGAGCAAAGUCUACCAGUCUCACUCCCUCCAGACCCACACAGGGCCUGAAAGACCUCUUCAGCCAAACACCUAAACCCGAAGCCUGAAUCCUUUCUCUCCUCUCCCCCAGCAGCCCUUAGCUGUGCCACCAUGCAGGGCUUGCUACCAGCACCAGCUGCCUGGUGGUAGAGCCUCAGAACCCAGGCUGCACCAGGUUAAGCCAAGAUGGCAGCUGGUGGCACCACAUUUUCCUUCCCUCUAGCCCUGUUUGCUGUUGCUCAUCCUGCUGCUCACCCUGAUCCCCCUCGGGAGUUCUGCUUCCCUCUGCCCCUUCCCGCAGAGAGACUCCCUGACCCUCC